AUUGAACGCUGGCGGCAUGCCUUACACAUGCAAGUCGAACGGCAGCACGGGUGCUUGCACCUGGUGGCGAGUGGCGAACGGGUGAGUAAUACAUCGGAACAUGUCCUGUAGUGGGGGAUAGCCCGGCGAAAGCCGGAUUAAUACCGCAUACGAUCUACGGAUGAAAGCGGGGGACCUUCGGGCCUCGCGCUAUAGGGUUGGCCGAUGGCUGAUUAGCUAGUUGGUGGGGUAAAGGCCUACCAAGGCGACGAUCGGUAGCUGGUCUGAGAGGACGACCAGCCACACUGGGACUGAGACACGGCCCAGACUCCUACGGGAGGCAGCAGUGGGGAAUUUUGGACAAUGGGCGAAAGCCUGAUCCAGCAAUGCCGCGUGUGUGAAGAAGGCCUUCGGGUUGUAAAGCACUUUUGUCCGGAAAGAAAUCCUUGGCCCUAAUACGGUCGGGGGAUGACGGUACCGGAAGAAUAAGCACCGGCUAACUACGUG
rnacentral:rRNA from 1 species